CACAACUUCCCAAUCGCUCACCACAAUUGUUGGAUGAAUUCCAAGGCGGAUAGAGAAGAUUGACCCGUACUCAUCUGCCAUGCCCCCUAGUGUUUUAUGCAGCAGCUGGUUUCUUCCUCCAAGAAGAUGUAGGUGGCCAAUUACAGGCCAUGACCCUGCUACCUCUGGAGGCAUCUUGCCAUUUUUCUUGUUUCCCUUGGCAAAUAUUGUGGCCAAGACAACAGAAGUUAUUGCAAGAAGAAGGGCAAACAAGGAGAUUCCUCGUAGCUCAGUCAAGGUUUUCAUGGUUUAGUUCGUAAUGAAGAUUGGUGAUUUGUCAACAUUUUUUCCAGAUGAUACUGAAAGAAACUUCUGAAUUUAGACAAAUGAAAUAUUUUUUAUGGCUCACAUCUUAUUUUUGUUCACAUAUUGACAGCUCAUUUAUGCGAAGUGAAUCAGUCUAGCUGAUGGUUACUGAUGGGGGGAUUUUCCAGUCUGGUUUGGCACGUCUAUCUUAUUCAACUAGUCUUCUCUAUAAACAAAAGAAAAGAAGAGAAAAUUACCAUCACCAAGUUUGGCAAAAAACGACAAUAUAUACAGUAAAUGAUCUCUCCAUGCAAAUGAUUUUCUUGAUCAUUAUACUAAUUAUUCACGAAAAAACGACAGGAUACCAAACAAUCAGACUUUUUUCAGCACAAGCUCCGUUUUUUCCAGAAUAAGACAGGCAUGAUCCACCUGUGAGACUUUUGUGUUAAAUUGUGGCCCCUGACAGCACAGUGUUUUUAAAAUAUAUGUAACUUGACUAUAGUAAAUUAAAAACCACGAAAUAAAAACUUGACUAUAAGAUCAGUUCAACAGUUAUUGCAAUACAUUGGCAAUAAAAAACACUUCCUGCCUUUAUUCUACCUUUGUUUUACAUAUUUUUAUAAAGGAUUGCACAAUGAUCUCCUUGUGCUUGCUGCUUAGAAUUCGUAAGCGAUGGAAGGUAACCUUGGCCUGAGGACAACCUCCAAUGGUGUUGCUUUGGGGACUGUCAAUCCAGGGCUUUCAGUCAUAUCGACUGGAGUAUCCGAGACUGUCCUCAAUUCAAACCCGUGAAGAAGCCGAGCAAGUGUCAGGUGCACAACCUGGACAACGAAUGACACCGCAGGGCACAUUCUUCUUCCAGACCCGAAUGGUGUGAACUCGAAGUCCUGCCCCCUUACAUCCAAAUUGGCUUUCUCUUUCAGGAACCUCUCAGGCUGAAAUUCCAAUGGGUUAGCCCAAAUGUUACGGGUCCCGAUGCAACUUCCAGAGGUUAACCACAAGGCGCGUGCCUGCUGGGAUGUGGAAGCCAGCUACAGUGCAAUCCUCCAUGGCUUCCCUUGGUCCUGAGAGUGGUCCUGGCGGGUGUAGCCUGAAUGUUUCCUUGACAAUGGCUUGCAAAUAUACAAGGUUCUUUAUGUCUGUCUCGGCCACUUGGCGGUGCUUUCCGACGUGGGUGUCAAGCUCAUCUUGAGCUUUUUGAAGCAUAUUUCUGUUGUUUAGUAGCAAAGCUAGUGCCCAUAUCAGAGCUAUCGGUGUUGUGUCACUGCCUCCCGCUAGAAGGCUCUGCCAUAGAGAUUACUUGAUACUGUGAGAUGAUGGAGUAAAAAAGUGAUUUAUAUAAACAUAUACGAAAUUUAUUCCUUUAAUUUAUUAGGAUUUAUAUAACCCUUAGAGAUUACUAUGUCUGCUAUAGUACACUUUCUUUUUUUGACAAAUACUAAAUGCAAAAUGCAAAAAUCGAACAUAAACUCUGGAUGUUUUGCCUAGCUGUAUGCCGUAUUGCAGAAAAUGAAAGACAGAGCAAGGGCCUCGAGUUAGAGACUUUCCGGAAAACUUAAAUCAAAUACAGAUCAUCAUUUACCCAAACUCCUUUCAGACAUGUGAAAAAAGCAAGUUUUGCCCAGUUGCUUGAGUAGGUUUCAGCUGCAACAGAAAAGUAUGUAACUUUUAAUUGCAGAAAUUUGCUAGAUACUUACCAAGCAACUAGACUUAACGGUUGUGUCAGCUUCAUCAACAGAAACGUUACUAUCAUCCAUGAUAGAAAGCAUUACAUGGAUGAAAUCUUUCUCCUCCUCGCUGAUGCUUCUGUUGAGCCUGAUUCUUCGAUGCUCCUCCACCCAGCUCCCAAGCACGAAAUCUAACUCCCUAGCCGUUCUUUUCAUUUUUCCUAUAUAUCCCUUCACCAAAUCCAGCCAACUAAACAAUGGAACAGCAUCUGAAGCCAAAUUUAACCCCAAUAGAUAGAAGAAAUUUCCUAAAGCUUCUUGACUCCUCUUUGCCUCUUGGUUGCCUUUUGCAUCGGCACUAAAGUAUCGCUUCCCGGAAAUCAUUCUAACUAUUAUGUUCAUUGCCAUGUCCGAUAAUCUUUGCUUCAUUUCCACGACAACUUGCCCUCCAUUCCUUGACGAUUUCUCAUAAAAAUCUUUCAUGAGCAAACUGGUUUCGGAGUCCCUGACAUGCUUGAGCAACUCAAGCCUAUGAUUGGAGAGGAGUUCAACCAUGACCAACUUCCUGAUAUCACGCCAAUAUCGCCCAUACGGUGCAAAGCCGAACAUGGUUUGGUUAUAGCCCAUGAUCUUUAAUGCUAAGGAUUUCGGACGUGUGGAAAAGACCCUAUCAUUUGCAGUGAAACAUUCUUUCACAACUUCCCAAUCGCUCACCACAAUUGUUGGAUGAAUUCCAAGGUGAAUAGAGAAGAUUGACCCGUACUCAUCUGCCAUGCCCCCUAGUGUUUUAUGCAGCAGCUGGUUUCUUCCUCCGAGAAGAUGUAGGUGGCCAAUAACGGGCCAUGACCCUGCUACCUCUGGAGGCAUCUUGCCAUUUUUCUUGUUUCCUUUGGCACAUAUUGUGGCCAAGACAAUAGAAAUUAUUGCAAGAAGAAGGGCAAACAAGGAGAAUUCUCGUAGCUCAGUCAAGGUUUUCAUGGUUUAGUUCGUAAUGAAGAUUGGUGAUUUGUCAAUAUUUUUUCCAGAUGAUUCUGAAAGAAACUUCCGAAUUUAGACGAAUGAAAUGAUUUUUUAUGGAUCACAUCUUAUUUUUGUUCACAUAUUGACAGCGCAUUUAUGCGAAGUGAAUCAGUCUAGCUGAUGGUUACUGAUGGGGGGAUUUUCUUGUCUGGUUUGGCACGUCUAUCUUAUUCAACUAGUCUUCUCUGUAAACAAUAAAAAACGAAGAGAAAAUUACCAUCACCAAGUUUGGCAAAAAAACGACAAUAUAUACAGUAAAUGAUCUCUCCAUGCAAAUGAUUUUCUUGAUCAUUAUACUAAUUUAUUCACGAAAAAACGACAGGAUACCAAACAAUCAGAAAUUUUUCAGCACAAUCUCAGCUUUUUCCAGAAUAGGAUAGGCAUGAUCCACCAGUGAGACUUUUGAGUUAAAUUGUGGCCACCCGACGGCAAAGUGCCUUUGGGGACCAUCAAUCUCGUGACAUUGAUACCAUGAGUACAGAAUUUCCAUGCGGUGGGUGAUCAUAAAAAAUAUACAGUAAAAGUCACCUACACAAAUCCAGUAUCUUGGUGUUUUUUUUUAAUCUGUUUUUCUAAAUUUUGUAAGUUGUUUUUAUUUUUUUUAAAAUAUCAAAUUAAUAUUUUUUAAAAUACUUUUCGAUGAAUUUAAUGAUUCCCUAGCAAUAGAACAUCUCUCUUUACAUAUAUUUUUUUUAAUGUUUUUUAAGGCUCAAACUCAUUUUCUGUAAUUUCAUAGAAUAGCUUGACAAAUUCCUUAGUUUCCACAAUUGAAGUGUCUCCUCUGCAUUUGCAGCAUCACCUAGUUACUCUUUUUGUGUAGUAAAAAUACAAUUACUUCAUUGGAGCAGGAGAGAUUUAUGUUCUGUUAUCAAAUUUCACUAACAAGAUUUGAUGGAUGCCCAGAACUUGUUUGUCUGAAGGGGAUUUGUGUUGAUCUAUGUGUUCAUUCUUAAAAUUGCUUGAUCAUGUUAUCUUUUUAGGUGGAUUUCUAAAUAGAUCUUGAAAUGGUUGUAUCAUGUUCUUCACGUGGAAAUUAUUUAUUGAGUUGGAACCGUUUACGCAAAAGAUUAGUAAAAUAAUCAUUACCUUGAGAUUUUAUUAAAGAAAAAUGGAUAAAUCAUGGUUGAAAAAGAAAUAUAAGCGGAGGGAAUAUGAUUGAAAGAGAGAAUUUGUAGAGAAUAAAAUUGAAAGAGAUAUAAAUCUUCAAUAGAAAAUGUCUUUUUUAUAUAAAAAUUUAAAUUAAAGGAUACAACAUAUAGUUGUUUAAUAAAAUGGUCAAAAAAUAUUUAAUGGCAAAAAAUUAUUUAACGGGAAAAAAAACAAUGCAUUUUCCAUGUCUUUCUCUGUCCCUUCAACAGAACAUCAUCAAAAUAAAAACUCCACGUUUUUUUCACUUUAAUUAGAUCAUAUUCCCAAUCACCACAUGCCCCCGUCGUCUCGCCCACAGCUCCUCCACUGUCGGAAAGCAAACCUCCAUCAUCAUCAUCAUCAUCAUCAAAAUUAAAUCCAUUGAAAUAAGUAUUCCGUAAAAAGUGCUGAAAAAAGGAAAAAGAAGAAAGAGGCAAGUGUCUUGAUGGAUGAGAGAAAAGUUCCAGCGAUUGGAAAUAUGAUUUGACAUGAAUGGCUCCACCAUACUACUUUCAAGUUUUAUACUUUCCUUUUCUCCGGGUGCUGUAACUUCAACUUGGUGGAGGGGAGCUGGACACGAAUAUGAAAACACCGUCUUCCAGAUCUCCACCGCAAAAGGAAGGUAAUAUACCUGGAAUCUUUUUUAAUUUGUCAUCGUUCAAUUUAAUGAGGCCAAUAAGAGAACCAAUUAUUGAACAAGUGGAGACAUCUUAUGUGCUACGCUUGUAUGUUGGAGGACACGUCACUAUCGACUACAUGCAGAUAGGUUAAUCGUGUGGCCUUCACAGCCUUGAAGAGACAAUAUGCAAAAGCAAAUUUAAUUGCAUCGCAAAACAUACUUUAAUUCGUAUGUAUUUUUUUAACCGAUAUAAGAAGAUGUGGCUGUGAGAAGAUUUUGUUGCGAUAGCAAUUACUAGGGUACAUGGAUGACCGUUGGGCGAGAUGUAAUAAAUUAAUUACAUAAGUGGUAAAUUAAAUUAUUUUCAAUUUAGUUUGAUUUUUAUUAAAAAUAAUAAUUAAAUGACAUUUAAAAAAAAAUUAAAACCAGUUCAAACCGAUUAAUUUUGGUUCUGUUUCUUAGGAUAAAAACCGAUUCAAACUAAUUUGGUUUAAUUUUCUUGAUUUUGGCUCGGUUUUAUCGGUUUUAGCUCAUUUUUUUCCUUAAUUUUUUUGGUUUGGGUUCAGUUCGGUUUUUUAAUUUUUUAUUUAUAAAACCAAAACUAAACAUGUUGAUUUUUUUAAAAAUUUUAAUCAAUUUUUUUUUACAGUUUGAUUUUUUAAAAUUUAAUUUAUUUAGGUUUUUUAAUUUAAUUGAUUUUUUUAGCUGUGUUUGAGUAUGUGUCAACGAGGGAGGGAGGGAGACAUGCACAUUUAUUGGGGGAGACAAGUGGGCCUCAGGAAUGGCUUGUCUCGGGACUUGGGUUUGGACAAUGUAUCGAUCGAAUCUCUUCGACGUUUGUACAGUUGUGCUGUUGUGAAGGGUACAUGUAGUUUUUGACCCUCUCCUAAUUUCUCAUCUGAGGAGGCAUCUGGAUCGGAGAAGGAAAAAGAAAAGAAAGAUAAAUUUAAAUUUCAAAAAAAUAUCAUAUGUAUUAUUAUUAUUAUUAUUAUUAUAAAAGAAAUAUCCUUAAUUAACAAAGAAGUUAAGGUACAAACGAUAUCCUUGAUUAACAAAAGAACAACCAACCAAGAAACUGGCUAUAUAUAGUGGCUAAAAUUUCUCAUUCAGUCUCCUCCACAAAAGCUUCGACUCGAAGAAGAACAAAUCCCACUGCAACUCCAACAAGAACAAGCCCAUUCAUGAUUGCUGCUAUCCUGAAUAUCUCACCAACAUCACUGCAGGUUGAAGAGAGUGCACCCCCACUCCUGCCUUUACCCUUUGAUGGAGCUCUCAAUGAGCUCACCACCUUUGCAAAGGACUGCUCGGUGCAUACUGGCUGGCCUAAUGAACUCACACUGUUGUGAGCUUUUAGCCCACCAAAAGAAUCCAGUCCUGUUAUGUACUUCACUUUGAUUUGCUUCCACUCAGGACUGCUAACUGUGGCAGUAGCACGCGUUGCUGGAGAAAGCGUUGCUGAGGCUGUUGCCAUUGACCCAAAACCUGCAAUAUGUAAGAUGAGAAACAGGAACACAAUCACACCUUGUACACACCAAAAACAGAACUUACAAGUACUACUAACUACUAUCUAAUUUAAUGAAAUAAGCGUCGUAUGCCUAACAGAGGAAUAUGCAUGUAGUGACCUUUUUUUUCGGUGGUGUUUGUCGGGUUAGAAAUAUUACAAAUAUGAUUGGAAAGGAAGGAAAUGGAAACAUAACUUUGUAUGGAAAAGAACGAGAGAGGAUGGAUAAGGAAACAAUGAGCACCUCUAAAUGCCAGCCAGGAAAACAAAAUUGAAUAACUUUACAGUCCAAGCACCAUGGUCUCCAAUUCAAUUCAAUAAAUCAAAAGAAUCCAGGCCCAGUCCCAUUUUAAAGUAGACCAAAAACGAGACCGACCAAGCCCAAAUAAGAUCCCUAAAAAGAGACUUUCUUCGGACUGAAACAUCAACCGUGUUCUGAUAAGCCCCUAAAUAUACUUCAAUAAGCACCCUCUACAAAAGCUCUCGGUGCAACCUUCUUUCCCAACCUCAUCAGCUCAAACACGCAAACAUUUCCUCCCACCAAAUUGUUGUCCGCCGUCCCAUUAUCAAAUUCAACCCUCCGCCUUUUCUCCAUUUUGUUUGACUCUUUUCCGUCACAAAUCUGAAGUCUGAAGCAUUCAGAAUCUUCUUGCGGACGGACACCUGUUAGCGGAUGUACUGCAUAAAUCAGCAAGAAUUGCAAUAAUUAGAACUUAACAAACACCUCAAAGAUUGCAUUUUUGUAAAGGCUCGCCAAAACAACACUGUGCAGGCUUAUUAUAAGAGCUGUAAGUACACAUUGAAAAUAAUAAAAUUAUCUACUACAUUUUCGUAAAGGCUCACCAGUAGAUCAUGCUUACUAUAUAAGUUCCUGCAAGAUAGUCAUGAAUGAAGGAUUUUUUGGGCUGGACAUCCAUGCUAUGCUGGCUUUACGCGCUGCAUUUGUAGUUCCUUAUGACGCCUUUGCUAAUGUGGCAAGAUUUUUUAAAACUAGUGAUGAUUUCCUCCGAUUCUUCCUGAUCUGCACAUUAUAGAUUCAUAAAUUAAGCACCAUCAUGGAUGUAUACACAAAGAGCUCACGAACUUAUUCUGAUGAAGUUCCUUUCUUUAAUGAGAGUUUUUUUUAAAAAAAAAAACAGGAUUUAUUAUGUGGUUAUCAAAAUUGAAAGCUUACAUUCAAAUUGGAGAAAAAUAUUCAUUGUUAUCAUAAGAUAGGUUUCGUAAGGUGCAAAGUCACUUAUGAUGUCGAAGAUUGGUGAUAAGAUGUUCUAGAAAAUAGAGUUCGUGAUGGUAUGCCGAUAAUCCCAUCAUAAUAAGCUAUGAAAACAUUGUUAAUUUUGAAUUAUAUAAAAUGAUAACAAAGAGAUUUUAUAAUGAGCAUAUUAUUAUUACUAUCUUUCUGUUCAUGAAGAUUUACUAUCGUCAAUAUUUAUUGCUCUGCUACUCCCUUUGAUUCAAUUAUGGCCACAAGGGACAGGGGAGCUAAGUCUAACUGAUGGUGACCAGAUGCUAACAAUUUUCUUGUCUGCUUUUGCCAAUUUCAGCUUUCUGCUAGUCCUUCUGUCCAAAUUUGUCUCCACUGAAAUUUUUAAGUUCGAAAAAAAACGCACCAAAUGAUAUAGUUGAUAAAAAUAGACAAUAGUAAAUUAAAAACCACGAAAUAAAAACUUGACUAUAAGAUCAGUUCAACAGUUAUUGCAAUACAUUGGCAAUAAAAAACACUUCCUGCUUUUAUUCUACCUUUGUUUUACAUAUUUUUAUAAAGGAUUGCACAAUGAUCUCCUUGUGCUUGCUGCUUAGAAUUCGUAAGCGAUGGAAGGUAACCUUGGCCUGAGGACAACCUCCAAUGGUGUUGCUUUGGGGGACUGUCAUUCCAGGGCUUUCAGUCAUAUCGACUGGAGUAUCGGAGACUGUCCUCAAUUCAAACCCCUGAAGAAGCCGAGCAAGUGUCAGGGUGCACAACCUGGACAGCGAAUGACACCGCAGGGCACAUUCUUCUUCCAGACCCGAAUGGUGUGAAUUCGAAGUCCUGCCCCCUUACAUCCAAAUUGGCAUGCUCUUUCAGGAACUUCUCAGGCUGAAAUUCCAAUGGGUUAGUCCAAAUGUUAGGGUCACGAUGCAACUUCCAGAGGUUAACCACAAGGCGCGUGCCUGCUGGGAUGUGGAAGAGCUAUCGUUAUUGUGUCACUGCCUCCCAAUAGAAGGCUCUGCCUCUCAUUCAGUCUCCUCCACAAAAGCUUCGACUCGAAGAAGAACAAAUCCGACUGCAACUCCAACAAGAACAAGCCCAUUCAUGAUUGCUGCUAUCCUGAAUAUCUCACCAACAUCACUGCAGGAUGAAGAGAGUGCACCCCCACUCCUGCCUUUACCCUUUGAUGGAGCUCUCAAUGAGCUGACCACCUUUGCAAAGGACUGCUCGGUGCAUACUGGUGUUGAAAGCUAAGCUGAUUACUUUUGAUAAAAAAUCGAUGAAGAAGACUGCAACAAGAAGGAUGAAGAAGUUGCAGAAAUUCUGUUAAAACAGUUAAGAAGGCAGUUAAAACCGUUAUUUUUGUUUUCUGUUUUUACUGUUACAAAACUGACUGUAAAUCAUUUCCACGUGAGAUGAUCUUGAUUCCUAAAAUAAAGGAAUCAGUUACAUAAAUUGUGUAUAAAAGCAAUGGUUACAGAAUUGAAAGUAAUAAGAAAAUAUACAGAACUUCUUCAUAAUCUUCUCUGCACAUUUAAAGCUUUAUUCUUUCUAUCCUCUUCUUCUUCUUCUCCAACGAAAUACAAGAAAAUCAACAUGGUAUCAGAGCACUCAAACUGAUUCCUGAGAGGGGUGUAGACUGUGAAAGAGAGAUUGAUUAAACUGUUAAUUACUCAAAAAUGGUAGGAUCAAGCUCAGCUGGAGGAGACUUAAGAACUCCACAGUUCAAUGGCACGAAUUAUGAUUUUUGGGCUGUAAAAAUGGAAAUUGUCCUCAUAGCACUCGAUCUAUGGGAAGUAGUUGAAGAUGGAAUAAAAUCUCAUCAAGCACCUGAGAUUGCAGUUGGAUCAGGCGAUGAAGAGAGUGAGGCUGAUCAAAUUAUACUGCAUGCAUCCACGACAUCCAGAGAAGAAAAAAUAUCAAGAAUGCAAAGGCUUUAAGCCUCAUACAAGGAGCAUUAACAGAUGAUCUUUUCCCACGUAUAAGAAAUGAGAAAACUGUAAAAGGAGCAUGGGACAUCUUGAGCAGAGAAUUCAGAGGAGAUAAAAAGGUUAGAGCAGUAAAACUUCAAGGAGUAAGAGCAGACUUUGAAUAUUUGAGAAUGUCAGAAAGUGAAAGCUUAGAUGGUUAUCUAGCUAAAUUCUUUGUAACUAUAAACAACCUAAAAUCAUUAGGUGAAGAUGUAUCAAAAAACAGAAUUGUGUAGAAAUUGUUAAUGAGUCUAAGCAGAAGAUAUAAGUCUAUUGUGUCAAUCAUUGAAGAGACACGUGAUCUUGAAGUUCUAAGAGAAGAAGAAGUCAUUGCUUCUGUUAAAGUAUAUGAUAAGAGGAAGGAUCUGCAUGAUGAAAGGGAUAAGCUAAGAGGAACAGAAAAAGCCUUUAGCAGUUUUAAAAUUGGAAACAAUCAAGGUUACAAUUCUCACAAGAAUUUUCAAGGCAGACCUACUCAAAAAUGGCAACCACAAGACAGGAAGGGAUCAAACUGGAAUCCAAACAGAACUCUGAAUAGCUACAGCAAUUCAAACUGGAAUAACACUGGUGGAGGGAGCAGUCAAGCAGGAGAAAAACCACAGUGUCAAGUCUGUCAAAAACAUCAUUUUGGAUUGUGCAGACACAAAGGAAAACCAAGAUGUGGAAGAUGCAAUCGUUUGGCCAUAUUACAAAAGAUUGUGAAAGUCAGAAUCACAAACAACUUGCAAAUUAUGCUAAAGAAGAAGGAGUCAUCACUGGAACCAUGUUCUAUGCUUGCCAUGCUGCAAGUUUGCAAGACAAAAAGAUAUGGUUUGUGGAUAGUGCCUGCUCACAUGACUUCUCAAGAAUCUGAACUAAUCAACAUUGAUAGAUCAGUAACAUGCAAAGUGAAGAUGGGCUCAGGAGACCUUGUGCAAGCUACUGGAAAAGGUACAUUGGUUGUGGAAACUCAGCAUGGGAAGAGAUACAUAAAAGAAGUAUUGCUUGUUCCCAGAUUGGAUGAAAACUUACUAAGUGUAGGCCAGAUGAUGGAGCAUGGCUAUUACAUUCUGUUUGGAGGUAACAAGGCAGUAAUAUUUGAUGAUGAAAGCCUCAACAAUGUUAUAGCAAUAGUAAUCAUGGGAGGAAAUCGAUGCUUUCCACUUUCACUUAAAAGUAUUACACCUGCAGCAAGGAAAGCUUUAGUGACUGAGGAUUCUUGGAUAUGGCAUAGGAGACUUGGACACUUGAACUUUGCCAACAUGAAAAAGAUGCAAUAGAAAGAGAUGGUGUGUGGACUUCCUGCUCUGACUGAAGUAGAAGAUGUUUGUGCAGGUUGUGCAUCAGGCAAACAUCAUAAGGAGAAAUUCAUCAAAGAGCAAGCAAUCCACUGGAAUUGAUCCACACUGAUCUGUGUGGACCAAUGCAGAAUGAUUCUGUGGGAGGGAACAGAUACUUCAUCACAUUCAUUGAUGAUUACUCAAGAAUAUGUUGGGUAUACUUUCUCAGAAAUAAAUCUGGUGCACUGAAUGUAUUCAAAAAAUUCAAAGCAUUCGUUGAACUGCAAAGUGGACACAAACUGAAGAAGCUAAGAAGUGACAGAGGAGGAGAAUAUACUUCCAAAGAAUUUGAAGAAUUAUGUGAGAAGCAAGGAAUGGAGAGGCAAUUGACAGUUGCAUACUCCCCUCAACAGAAUGGAGUUGCAGAAAGGAGAAACAGAACAAUUUGUGAGAUGGGGAGAUCUAUGCUGAUAGAGAAAGGAAUGUCAGUAACCUUCUGGGCAGAAGCUGUUAAUACAGCUGUGUAUAUACAGAAUAGAUGUUAUACAACAUUUGUUGCAGAAAAGACUCCUUUUGAAGCCUUCACGGGAAGGAAGCCAGGAGUCAAGCAUUUGAAGGUGUUUGGUUGCUUGUGUUACACACAUAUCCAUCAUCACUAAGGCAGAAAUGGGAUAGCAAAGCUGGAAAGGGAGUGUUUGUUGGAUAUGGCAGCUGUGAAAAGGGUAUAGGAUAUAUGAUCUGAAAACUGAGAAGAUUGUUCUCUCAAGAAGUGUGAUUUUCAGUGAAGAUAAAGCAUGGAAUUGGAAGGGAAAUCUGAUGAACCAAAUCCACUUGUCCUUCAAUCAUGAAGGAGGUAUAAUUGAAGGUGAGAAUCUUGAGAAACACACUUCUAAAAUUCAACCCGACAAUGUUGAACAUUGCAAUCAAAAUCCUAUAGUUGAAGAGUCAGUUGAGAAGAUUGACAGUGCUAACAGUCAACAAUCUUCACCAAGCUCUACUCCAGUGAAAUUGAAAAUCUUGGAAGACAUAUAUGCAAGGUGUCACAUGUGCAUCAUAGAACCUGAGAAUUAUCAAGAAGCUGCUGGGGAUAAAGCCUGGCAGGAGGCUAUGAAGGAAGAGUUGGAAGUGAUAGAGAAGAACAAUACUUGGGAAUUGGUGGAAAGACCAAGUGAUAAACCUGUGAUAAGAGUGAAAUGGGUGUACAAAACCAAGCUUCAUCUUGAUGGAUCAGUUCAGAAACACAAGGCUCGACUUGUAGCAAAGGGUUAUGCAUAGAAAUAUGGAAUUGAUUACAAUGAAACCUUUGCACCAGUAGCAAGGUUAGACACAAUUCGAACUCUCAUUGCACUUACAGCACAGAAGGGGUGGAAGUUGUUUCAAUUGGAUGUCAAGUCAGCAUUCCUAAAUGGUGUACUUGAAGAAGAAGUAUAUGUUGAACAGCCUGAAGGGUUUGAAGUAAAGAAUGCAGGACAUAAAGUUUACAAACUAAAGAAGGCUUUGUAUGGAUUAAAACAGGCACCGAGAGCCUGGUAUAGUGAGAUUGAUACAUAUCUCUCUAUGUGCAAUUUUAAAAGGAGUGGAAGUGAAGCUACUCUAUAUACAAGAUCAGACAUGGAAGGUAAUUUGAUCAUAGUUUCAAUCUAUGUUGAUGACAUUGUGUACACUGGCAGCAGUGAGAGGCUUCUCAAUGAAUUCAAAAGGGAAAUGAUGCAGAGAUAUGAGAUGUCUGAUCUUGGACUUCUUCACCAUUUUCUUGGCAUGGGGAUACUGCAAACCAAUCGAGGAGUGUUUAUUCAUCAAGGGAAAUAUGACAAAUCUCUGCUCAGUAAGUUUGGACUUGAUGAUUGCAAACCAGUUUCCAUUCCCCUGGCCACUGGAGAGAAACUGAAGAAGAAAGAUGGAAGUGAGUUGGCUGAUGAAGGUCUUUAUAGAAGAAUAGUAGGAAGUCUACUAUAUUUGACAGCUACAAGACCUGAUCUAAUGUAUGCUGCAAGUUUAUUAUCAAGGUUCAUGACUGGACCUACCAAGAUUCACAUGGGAGCUGCAAAAAGAGUUCUAAGAUAUGUGCAAGGAACUCUCAGUUAUGGGAUUGAAUAUGUAAGGGAUCAAUCAGCAACUCUCAUUGGAUUUUGUGAUGCAGAUUGGGCAGGAAGUGAAGAUGAUAGCAGGAGUACUUCGGGCUAUGCAUUUAGUUUUGGAAGUGGAGCAUUCUCCUGGUCUUCUGUAAAACAAAACACAGUAGCAUUGUCAACUGCUCAGGCCAUUUGGCUAUAGUUUGUUCUUGAUGAUUUUGGGGAAAUGCAAGCUGAAGCAACACCUUUAUUCUAUGAUAACAUGUCAGCAAUUUCGAUGGCCAAGAAUCCAGUUUUCCAUCAGAGAACAAGACACAUAAACAAGAAGUAUCACUUUUUAAGAGAGGCUCUGCAAGAAGGAGUAAUUGAUGUGAAGUUCUGCAGAAGUGAAGAACAACUUGCAGACAUCUUCACAAAGGCAUUACCCAAAGAUAGAUUCAAGAAACUAAAACUAGAUCUUGGAGUUAAAUCAGUAAACAGCUUAGGAGAGGCUGUUGAAAGCUAAGCUGAUUACUUUUGAUAAAAAAUCGAUGAAGAAGACUGCAGCAAGAAGGAUGAAGAAGUUGCAGAAAUUCUGUUAAAACAGUUAAGAAGGCAGUUAAAACCGUUAUUUCUGUUUUCUGUUUUUACUGUUACAAAACUGAUUGUAAAUCAUUUCCACGUGAGAUGAUCUUGAUUCCUAAAAUAAAGGAAUCAGUUACAUAAAUUGUGUAUAAAAGCAAUGGUUACAGAAUUGAAAGUAAUAAGAAAAUAUACAGAACUUCUUCAUAAUCUUCUCUGCACAUUUAAAGCUUUAUUCUUUCUAUUCUCUUCUUCUUCUCCAACGAAAUACAAGAAAAUCAACUGGCUGGCCUAAUGAACUCACAUUGUUGUGAGCUUUUAGCCCACCAAAAGAAUCCAGUCCUGUUAUGUACUUCACUUUGAUUUGCUUCCACUCAGGACUGCUAACUGUGGCAGCAGCAAGUGUUGCUGGAGAAAGCGUUGCUGAGGCUGUUGCCAGUGACCCAAAACAUGCAAUAUAUAAGAUGAGAAACAGGAACACAAUCACACCUUGUACACACCAAAAACAGAACUUACAAGUUACUACUAAUUACUAUCUAAUUUAAUGAAAUAAGCGUCCUAUGCUUAACAGAGGAAUAUGCAUGUAGUUACCUUUUUUUUCGGUGGAACGUGUUUGUCGGGUUAGAAAUAUUACAAAUAUGAUUAGAAAGGAAGGAAAUGGAAACUUAACUUUGUAUGGGAAAGAACGAGAGAGGAUGGAUAAGGAAACAAUGAGCACCUCUAAAUGCCAGCCAGGAAAAUAAAAUUGAAUAAUUUUACAGUCCAAGCACCAUGGUCUCCAAUUCAAUUCAAUAAAUCAAAAGAAUCCAGGCCCAGGCCAAUUUUAAAAUAGACCAAAAACGAGACACAUCGAGCCCAAAUUAUAAAUAGCUAAAAGAGAUUAGUGUUUUACUGUGCAGCCCACAAUAAAACAUUGAUCUCUGCUAUUUUAUGGAUUUUUUUUCUUGUUUUUUUAUGCCUUUUGAAAAAUUAUUUUUUGCUUCUUUUUUAUUUUUUUAUUUUUGUUUAAUUUAGUUUAUUAAUGUUUAAUUUUUUUUAUUUAGUUAUCAGACUUUCAUGACACGUUUUUCGGAUUUAACGGGUUAACCUGGUUUGAUAAGUUAACCUAGAAUAUUUCUUUUUUGCUUUUUAUUCUUUUUAAUUAAUUUUUUUUGUUUAGUUUAGUUGUUAAUGUUAAAUUUCUUUCUAUUUAGUUAUUAGAUUUUCAUGACAUAUAUCCCGAGUUUCACAGGUUAACCUGGUUUCACGGGAGAACCCAGUUAAUUAUGGGUUGACCCGUCAAUUUUUUUAUUUUCAUAAAUUUUUUUGUUUAAUUUAGUUUGUUAAUGUUAAAUUUUUUUUAUUUAGUUAUCAGACUUUCAUGACACAUAUCAUGGGUUUAACGGGUUAACAUGGUUUGACGAGUUAACCCGAAUUUAUUUUUUGAUUUUUUAUUUUUAAUUAAUUUUUUUUGUUUAGUUCAGUUUGUUAAUGUUCAUUUUUUUUUAGUUAUCAGACAUUCAUGACACGGAUCCGGGGUUUAACGGGUUAACUUGGUUUGACGAGUUAACCUGAAAUUUAUUUUUAUUUUUUUGCUUUUUUUUUCUUUUAAAUUAAUUUUUUUCGUUUAAUUUAAAUUGUUGAUGUUAAAUUUUUUUCUAUUUAGUUAUCAAACUUUCAUGACACGGAUUCCGGGUUUGAUGGGUUAACCUGGUUUAACGAGUUAGCCCAAUUAAUUCUGGGUUAACCCAUUAAUUUGUUUUUUCAUUUUUAAUUAUCAAACUUUCACGAUGCGAAUUCAAUGUAUGACGGGUUAACCUGGUUUGAAGAGUUAACCCAAUUAAUUCAUAUUUUUUUUUCUUUUUCUUCAUUAGUUUUUUUCUUCAUGUUGGUUUCUUUUUCUUUUUAACUAAUUUAUUUAAUUAUCACACUUUUAUGACACGACCUUGCAGUCAGACCCAUGUUCAAUGCUAUUGGGUCUGUAAUUACAGUCCAGACACUUUUAUACUAAGGGUUAACCCAAGUUUAAUGUUAUUAUUAAUAUUAUAAAUAUUACUCUUGGAUUAGGCGUUGCAACCAAACCUAAAACUCUUGGGUAUAACUUUGCAAAAAAAAACUAACACUUUUAGAUUUUAGCUUUUUUUGAAAUCCAAAAAUAAUUGACUCGCUGUAUCGCGCGGGACAUGUAACUAGUAAAAUUGCUAAAAAGAGACUUUCUUCGGACCGAAACAUCAACCGUAUUCUGAUAAGCCCCAAAUAUACUUCAAUAAGCACCCUCUGCAAAAGCUCUCGGUGCAACCUUCUUCCCCAGCCUCAUCAGCUCAAACACGCAAAUAUUUCCUCCCACCAAAUUGUUUUCCGCCGUCCCUUUAUCAAAUUCUACCCUCCGCCUUUUCUCCAUUUUGUUUGACGAAGCCACUCUUUUCCGUCACAAAUCUGAAGUCUGAAAGCAUUCAGAAUCUUCUUGCGGACACCUGUUAGCGGAUGUACUGCAUAAAUCAGCAAGAAUUGCAAUAAUUAGAACUUAACAAACACCUCCAAGAUUGCAUUUUUGUAAAGGCUCGCCAAAACAACACCGUGAAUGCUUAUUAUAAGAGCUGUAAGUACACAUUGAAAAUAAUAAAAUUAUCUACUACAUUUUCGUAAAGGCUCACCAGUAGAUCAUGCUUACUAUAUAAGUUCCUGCAAGAUAGUCAUGAAUGAAGGAUUUUUUGGGCUGGACAUCCAUGCUAUGCUGGCUUUACGCGCUGCAUUCGUAGUUCCUUGUGACGCCUUUGCUAAUGUGGGAAGAUUUUUUAAACUAGUGAUGAUUUCCGAUUCUUCCUGAUCUGCACAUUAUAGAUUCAUAAAUUAAGCACCAUCAUGGAUGUAUACACAAAGAACUCACGAACUUAUUCUGAUGAAGUUCCUUUCUUUAAUGAGAGUUUUUUGAAAAAAAAAGAUUUAUUAUGUGGUUAUCAAAAUUGAAAGCUUACAUUCAAAUUGAAGAAAAAUCAUUGUUAUCAUAAGAUAGGUUUCGUAAGGUGCAAAGUUACUUAUGAUGUUGAAGAUUGGUGAUAAGAUGUUCUAGAAAAUAGAGUUCGUGAUGGUAUGCCUAUAAUCCCAUCAUAAUAAACUAUGAAAACAUUGUUAAUUUUGAAUUAUAUAAAAUGAUAACAAAGAGAUUUUAUAAUGAGCAUAUUAUUAUUAUAACUAUCUUUCUGUUCAUGAAGAUUCACUAUCGUCAAUAUUUAUUGCUCUGCUACUCCCUUUGAUUCAAUUAUGGCCACAAGGGACAAGGGAGCUAUGUCUAACUGAUGGUGACCAGAUGCAAACAAUUUUCUUGUCUGCUUUUGCCAAUUUCAGCUUUCUGCUAGUCCUUCUGUCCAAAUUUGUUUCCACUGAAAUUUUUAAGUUUUGCCCCAGUUGCUUGAGUAGGUUUCAGCUGCAACAGAAAAGUAUAAAACUUUUAAUUGCAGAAAUUUGCUAGAUACUUACCAAGCAACUAGCCUUAACGGUUGUGUCAGCUUCAUCAACAGAAAUGUUACUAUCAUCCAUGAUAGAAAGCAUGACAUGGAUGAAAUCUUUCUCCUCCUCGCUGAUGCUUCUGUUGAGCCCGAUUCGUCGAUGCUCAUCCACCCAGCUCCCAAGCACGCAAUCUAACUCCCUUGCCGUUCUUUUCAUUUUUCCUGUAUAUCCCUUCACCAAAUCCAGCCAACUAAACAAUGGAACAGAAUCUGAAGCCAAAUUUAACCCCACUAGAUAGAAGAAAUUUCGUAAAGCCUCUUGACACCUCUUUGCCUCUUGAUUGCCUUUUGCAUCGGCUCUAAAGUAUCGCUUCCCAGAAAUCAUUCUAACUAUUAUGUUCAUCGCCAUGUCCGCUAAUCUUUGCUUCAUUUCCACCACAGCUUGCCCUCCAUUCCUUGACGAUUUCUCAUAAAAAUCUUUCAUGAGCAAACUGGUUUCUGUGUACCUGACAUGCUUGAGCACCUCAAGCCUAUGAUUUGAGAGGAGUUCAACCAUGACUAACUUCCUGAUAUCACGCCAAUAUCGCCCAUACGGUGCAAAGCCGAACGUGGUUUGGUUAUAGCCCAUGAUCUUUAAUGCUAAGGAUUUUGGACGUGUGGAAAAGACCUUAUCAUUUUCAGUGAAACAUUCUUUCACAAUUUCCCUAUCGCUCACCACAAUUGUUGGAUGAAUUCCAAGGCGGAUAGAGAAGAUUGACCCGUACUCAUCUGCCAUGCCCCCUAGUGUUUUAUGCAGCAGCUGGUUUCUUCCUCCAAGAAGAUGUAGGUGGCCAAUAACAGGCCAUGACCCUGCUACCUCUGGAGGCAUCUUGCCCUUUUUCUUGUUUCCUUUGGCAUAUAUUGUGGCCAAGACAAUAGAAAUUUUUGCAAGAAGAAGGCCAAACAAGGAGAUUUCUCGUAGCUCAAUUAAGGUUUUCAUGGUUUAGUCUGUAAUGGAGGUUUAGUACUUGGUUGAUAUUUUUUUCAGCUGCUACUGAAAGAAACUUUCGAAUUUAGACAAAUGAAAUAUAUUUUUAUGGCUAACUUCUUAUUUUGUUCACAUAUUGAUAGCUCAUUUAUGCCAAGCUCAUUGAUAGCUGAUGGUUACUGAUGUGGGGAUUUUCUAGUCUGGCUUGGCACUUCUAUGUUAUUCAACUAGUCUCCUCUGUAAAAAAAAAGAAAAAGAAAAAAGAAAACCGAAAAUUACCAUCACCAAGUUUGCAUAACUACUAAUUAUUACUUCCGUAAACGAGCAACCUUUUCUGAAAAAGAAAUGAUCUCUCCUUGCAAAUGAUUUUCUUUAUCAUCAUAUAUACAGUCACAACUACUAAUUAUUCACGAAAAAACGACAGGAUACCUUGACAAAUUUUCUAAUGUAUUUGCAUAUAUUUUUUAAUGUUUUUGAAGGCUCAAACUCAUUUUCUGUAAUUUCCUAGAAUAUCUUGACAAAUUCUUUAAUAGCAUUUUUGACAUUUUUUUUUAUCAUUUCCAUGUAUUAAAUCCAUGCUAGUGUUGAUCCAUGUGUUUAUAAGUUAAACAUCUUUCGAUCAUUUUAUCUUUUUAGGUGGAUUUCUAAAUAGAUCUUGAGAAGUCAUAACGGAUUUAUUGAAGUAUUAUUAAAUGGUUAUAUCAUAUUCUUCAUGUGGAAACUAUUUAUUGAGUUGGAACCUUUUAUGCAUAAGAUUAGUAAAGUAAUCAUUACCUUAAGAUUUUAUUAAAAAGAAUUGGAUAAAUUAUGGUUGAAAAAGAAAUAUAAGUGGAGGGAAUAUGAUUGAAAGAGAGAAUUUGUAGAUAAUAAAAUUGAAAGAGACGUAAAUCUUCAAUAUAUAGAAAAUGUCUUUUUAGUCAAAAAACGAAUCUUACCAUCACAUCAAGCUUGGAAAAAAAUCCUUGUGGAUGCACAACUAAUUUUACGUUACUUUCAUGAACAGACAACUACCUUCCUUAAAAGAAAAUGAGCUGCCACUUGCUCGUUAUCUCUUUUAAAACAAAGGCCGGAUACUUAUCUAUAAAUAAAUAAUAUAUCCAAGCUUUAAGAUGCACACUACAAUAAAUUAAAAAAAGAAAAAGAAAAAAGAAUAAAAAAUGAAAAGUAAUCUCAUAAAAUUAUAAAAUAUUUAUGAGAGCAUAAAUAAAGUAUUUUCUCCUAAUAAUAAAGAAAUUUUAGUUUUUUUUCUAUUAAUAAAAAAAGAUUGUAAUUCUCAUAUAUAUUAUUUAAUAAAAUUCUUUUAUAUUUCCUUAUAAAUAUAUUUAAAUUGGGUCAAUCAUAAAAAUUCUUGUGUGUAAUUUUUUAUUUUAACAUAUCUUUUAUUUUUCAUCUUAUUAGAUUUGUAUGCUAGUAUCCUAUCAAAUACCUAGGAUUUUCUUGAUCAUAAUACACUGUCACUACUGAUUAUUCACGAAAAAACAAAAAGAUAUCAAAACUAUUAGGCUUCUGUCAGCACAAGCUUUAUUUGUUUCCAGAAUUAGACAGGGAUAUACUUUUCUCUCCUUGUGUCACUGAAGUGUUUUUACAAUGUUAUAAUUUGACUUAUUAAUUUAAUAGAUUAACUCGUAUUAAUUUAAUAUAUUAUUAUAUUAAUAUUUAAAAAUAAUAUUCUACAAUAUAAAACAUAUUUUAAAUUCGUAAUUAAUUUUUUUAAUUAAAAAACAUCGUGGUGAAUAUGCCCUUCCUUGUACAUGUCAAGUAAAAUGUCUUUUCUUUACAAAAUCACGACUAAAUUACAUUGGACAGCCAACAACGCACCAGUUCCAUAGCUAAGCUUAACAAGAUUUGAAGAUUCUCCUGGUAAUUUAUAUUUACAGGAUCUAUCGCAACAUCAUCCUGGUUGAUUCCUCAGCAGCCACAUUUUACAUCAUAUAAUACAAACAAAAGUAUCACAAACGUUUGACUGUCACGAGGAGGGAUUAGUAAAUUACCAGUGACCAAACAUAGACUAAACAAAACAUUCUGAACAGCAGAGAUUGCCUUGCAAGUCACUUCAAAGACACACAAUCUUCAACUGCACGAAAUGUUGUCACCUUCAGCACAGAUUUCUUGCUGUUGAUCAGCUCAAAGACGCGAACGUCUCCUUCCUUCAAAUCAUUUUCCUUGUGAAAUCUAUUCCAUCCCUUCGACAGCUUACGUUCACAUUUACUGACUCGCAAAGGCCACCCCCUUCCAUCAGAAACUUGGAGUUUAAUACGAUCGGAAACUUGAUUCAGAUAUUUUUCAGCAAAUCCAAGCGCCACAUACUGCACAUAACGAAAAACAAUUCAAACUGAAUACGAAACUUACAAAAAUCACGAGCAUAUUCUAUAUAAUUAAAGGCUCCCCACAAAAUUGUUGCGGGUAUUAUAUAUGGUCGCAACAAGACCAUGAAAGAAGGGUUUUUAGGUUUGAACUUUCUGGCAGCGUGAACUGACUACAAUUUCCAUAUGUGAAUGUGAAUGAUUCUUUUCAGGGAUCUUUGCUCUAUGCAUGACUCGAGCUCCUCAAGUGAAUAGAAUACUCUGCUUUGUGUGGACAAUACAGAUGGCACCGCAUCUUCGUUCAUGUGUCCACAUGUUGUACAUUCAAGAUUAAAAAUGGCAGCCUUUUUUUUAUGAUGAGAAAUUUAAUAAAAACAAAGAUCAAAACAUUAUAUACAUUCUCUACAAAUAAAAUCUAGGAUUAACAGUUUAAGUUAUUAGGUUGAAUUGAUUAUUUGAUAUGGUAUUAGAAUCUUAAUAACCUAAUAAUCACGAGUUUGAAUCUCACUAUCUCCAUUUAUUUGAUAAAAAUUAAAAAUAAAGUAAUGUUCAAACGACUUUCACUUGAAUAGAUGUGUUAGAGAAUAAUAUAAAUUAUAUAUUAGAACCUUACCUAACAGUUUAAACUAUUGGGUGAAGAUAGUUUUUUGACACAAGCAAACAAUUUUCUUGUCUGCUUUUGCCAAUUUCAGCUUUCUGCUAGUCCUUCUAUCCAAAUUUGUUUCCACUGCAAUUUUUAAGUUCGAAAAAAAACGCACCAAAUGAUAUAGUUGAUAAAAAUAGACAAUAGUAAAUUAAAAACCACGAAAUAAAAACUUGACUAUAAGAUCAGUUCAACAGUUAUUGCAAUACAUUGGCAAUAAAAAACACUUCCUGCCUUUAUUCUACCUUUGUUUUACAUAUUUUUAUAAAGGAUUGCACAAUGAUCUCCUUGUGCUUGCUGCUUAGAAUUCGUAAGCGAUGGAAGGUAACCUUGGCCUGAGGACAACCUCCAAUGGUGUUGCUUUGGGGACUGUCAAUCCAGGGCUUUCAGUCAUAUCGACUGGAGUAUCCGAGACUGUCCUCAAUUCAAACCCGUGAAGAAGCCGAGCAAGUGUCAGGUGCACAACCUGGACAGCGAAUGACACCGCAGGGCACAUUCUUCUUCCAGACCCGAAUGGUGUGAAUUCGAAGUCCUGCCCCCUUACAUCCAAAUUGGCUUUCUCUUUCAGGAACCUCUCAGGCUGAAAUUCCAAUGGGUUAGCCCAAAUGUUAGGGUCACGAUGCAACUUCCAGAGGUUAACCACAAGGCGCGUGCCUGCUGGGAUGUGGAAGCCAGCUACAGUGCAAUCCUCCAUGGCUUCCCUUUGUCCUGAGAGUGGUGCUGGCGGGUGUAGCCUGAAUGUUUCCUUGACAAUGGCUUGCAAAUAUACAAGGUUCUUUAUGUCUGUCUCGGCCACUUGGCGGUGCUUUCCGACGUGGGUGUCAAGCUCAUCUUGAGCUUUUUGAAGCAUAUUUCUGUUGUUUAGUAGCAAAGCUAGUGCCCAUAUCAGAGCUAUCGCUGUUGUGUCACUGCCUCCCGCUAGAAGGCUCUGCCAUAGAGAUUACUUGAUACUGUGAGAUGAUGGAGUAAAAAACUGAUUUAUAUACAAAUAUACGAAAUUUAUUCCUUUAAUUUAUUAGGAUUUAUAUGACCCUUAGAGAUUACUAUGUCUGGCUAUAGUACAAUUUCUUUUUUUGACAAAUACUAAAUGCAAAAUGCAAAAAUCGAACAUAAACUCUGGAUGUUUUGCCUAGCUCUAAGCAGUAUUGCAGAAAUGAAGACAGAGCAAGGGCCUCGAGUUAGAGACUUUCCUGAAAACUUAAAUCAAAUACAGAUCAUCAUUUACCCAAACUCCUUUCAGACAUGUGAAAAAAGCAAGUUUUGCCCCAGUUGCUUGAGUAGGUUUCAGCUGCAACAGAAAAGUAUAAAACUUUUAAUUGCAGAAAUUUGCUAGAUACUUACCAAGCAACUAGACUUAACGGUUGUGUCAGCUUCAUCAACAGAAACGUUACUAUCAUCCAUGAUAGAAAGCAUUACAUGGAUGAAAUCUUUCUCCUCCUCGCUGAUGCUUCUGUUGAGCCUGAUUCUUCGAUGCUCAUCCACCCAGCUCCCAAGCACGCAAUCUAACUCCCUAGCCGUUCUUUUCAUUUUUCCUAUAUAUCCCUUCACCAAAUCCAGCCAACUAAACAAUGGAACAGCAUCUGAAGCCAAAUUUAACCCCACUAGAUAGAAGAAAUGUCGUAAAGCCUCUUGACACCUCUUUGCCUCUUGAUUGCCUUUUGCAUCGGCACUAAAGUAUCGCUUCCCGGAAAUCAUUCUAACUAUUAUGUUCAUUGCCAUGUCCGUUAAACUUUGCUUCAUUUCCACGACAACUUGCCCUCCAUUCCUUGACGAUUUCUCAUAAAAAUCAUUCAUGAGCAAACUGGUUUCUGUGUACCUGACAUGCUUGAGCAACUCAAGCCUAUGAUUGGAGAGGAGUUCAACCAUGACUAACUUCCUGAUAUCACGCCAAUAUCGCCCAUACGGUGCAAAGCCGAACGUGGUUUGGUUAUAAGCCAUGAUCUUUAAUGCUAAGGAUUUUGGACGUGUGGAAAAGACCCUAUCAUUUGCAGUGAAACAUUCUUUCACAACUUCCCAAUCGCUCACCACAAUUGUUGGAUGAAUUCCAAGGAGGAUAGAGAAGAUUGACCCGUACUCAUCUGCCAUGCCCCCUAGUGUUUUAUGCAGCAGCUGGUUUCUUCCUCCAAGAAGAUGUAGGUGGCCAAUAACAGGCCAUGACCCUGCUACCUCUGGAGGCAUCUUGCCCUUUUUCUUGUUUCCUUUGGCACAUAUUGUGGCCAAGACAAUAGAAAUUAUUGCAAGAAGAAGGGCAAACAAGGAGAUUUCUCGUAGCUCAGUCAAGGUUUUCAUGGUUUAGUCUGUAAUGGAGGUUUAGUACUUGGUUGAUAUUUUUUUCAGCUGCUACUUAAAGAAACUUUCGAAUUUAGACAAAUGAAAUAUUUUUUUAUGGCUCACAUCUUAUUUUGAUCACAUAUUGAUAGCUCAUUUAUGCCAAGCUCAUUGAUAGC
rnacentral:lncRNA from 1 species